UACGUAGGGUGCAAGCGUUAAUCGGAAUUACUGGGCGUAAAGCGUGCGCAGGCGGUUAUGCAAGACAGAUGUGAAAUCCCCGGGCUUAACCUGGGAACCGCAUUUGUGACUGCAUAGCUGGAGUACGGCAGAGGGGGGUGGAAUUCCGCGUGUAGCAGUGAAAUGCGUAGAUAUGCGGAGGAACACCGAUGGCGAAGGCAGUCCCCUGGGCCUGUACUGACGCUCAUGCACGAAAGCGUGGGGAGCAAACAGG
rnacentral:rRNA from 1 species